rnacentral:rRNA from 1 species
GUGGAUUAGAUACCCUGGUAGUCCACGCCCUAAACGAUGAUAACUAGCUGUCCGGGUUCAUGGAACUUGGGUGGCGCAGCUAACGCAUUAAGUUAUCCGCCUGGGGAGUACGGUCGCAAGAUUAAAACUCAAAGGAAUUGACGGGGGCCUGCACAAGCGGUGGAGCAUGUGGUUUAAUUCGAAGCAACGCGCAGAACCUUACCAGCGUUUGACAUGUCUAGUAUAUUUCCCAGAGAUGGGUUAUUUCAGUUCGGCUGGCUAGAACACAGGUGCUGCACGGUUGUCGACAACU